rnacentral:rRNA from 1 species
UCCGUAGGCGGUGUGGCAAGUCGGAAGUGAAAUCUCUGGGCUUAACCCAGAGGCUGCUUCCGAAACUGCCGUGCUAGAGUGCGAGAGAGGCAAGUGGAAUUGCGGGUGUAGCGGUGAAAUGCGUAGAUAUCCGCAGGAACAUCCGAGGCGAAAGCGGCUUGCUGGAUCGCAACUGACGCUGAGGGACGAAAGCUAGGGGAGCAAACAGGAUUAGAUACCCUGGUAGUCCUAGCCCUAAACCAUCAGGACUUGGGGUUUGCCCUGUACGGGGCAAGUCCCGUAGCUAACGCGUUAAGUCCUGCGCCUGGGGAGUACGGUCGCAAGGCUGAA